AUUGAACGCUAGCGGGAUGCCUUACACAUGCAAGUCGAACGGAGUGGCGAACGGGUGAGUAAUGUAUCGGAACGUGCCCAGUAGCGGGGGAUAACUACGCGAAAGCGUAGCUAAUACCGCAUACUCUUGGAGCGGCCGAUAUCGGAUUAGCAAGUGGGUGGGGUAACGGCUCACCAAGGCGACGCUCCGUAGCUGGUGUUAGAGGACGACCAGCCACACUGGGACUGAGACCCGGCCCAGACUCCUACGGGAGGCAGCGGUGGGGAAUUUUGGACAAGGGGGGAAACCCUGAUGCAGCCAUCCCGCGUGGGUGAUGAAGGCCUUCGGGUUGUAAAGCACUUUUGGCAGGAAUGCGGUACCUGCAGAAUAAGCACCGGCUAACUACGUGCCAGCAGCCGCGGUAAUAC
rnacentral:rRNA from 1 species